rnacentral:rRNA from 1 species
AUUGAACGCUGGCGGCAUGCCUUACACAUGCAAGUCGAACGGCAGCACGGGUGCUUGCACCUGGUGGCGAGUGGCGAACGGGUGAGUAAUACAUCGGAGCGUACCUUAUCGUGGGGGAUAACGCAGCGAAAGCUGUGCUAAUACCGCAUACGCCCUGAGGGGGAAAGCGGGGGAUCGAAAGACCCCGCGCGAUUAGAGCGGCCGAUGCCUGAUUAGCUUGUUGGUGGGGUAAAAGCCCACCAAGGCGACGAUCAAUAGCUGGUCUGAGAGGACGAUCAGCCACACUGGGACUGAGACACGGCCCAGACUCCUACGGGAGGCAGCAGUGGGGAAUUUUGGACAAUGGGGGCAACCCUGAUCCAGCAAUGCCGCGUGAGUGAAGAAGGCCUUCGGGUUGUAAAGCUCUUUUGUCAGGGAAGAAACACCGGCUCUAACACAGUCCGGGAAUGACGGUACCUGAAGAAUAAGCACCGGCUAACUACGUGCCAGCCGCCGCAGUAA